rfam:Aedes albopictus isolate Foshan contig307791, whole genome shotgun sequence.
UAAACGGUCCUUUUCAGGACCACAUAAAAUCUUCCCUUAAGAGUUGG